rnacentral:misc_RNA from 1 species
GGUGCAGGGUAGGCAGGUCCAUAUAGAUAGUCUAGGGUAGGUACAGGGUAGGCACAGGGUAGGUAGAAGUCUGGUAUAUGGUACGGGCGGGUGUAGGGUAGGCUCAGACACCGAUCCGUUUCGCGCUCUCACCUUUGCUCGAGAAACGACGAUCUUGGCCGGGAUGGAGGUCUAGGGUAGGCUGAAUAUACGAUUUUAUAAGCUGUAUUGCUCUAGGGUAGGUGAAAAUCCCAUAAGAAUCUGAUCAGAAUUG